rnacentral:lncRNA from 1 species
CUUGAUGAUGAUGACAUAAAAGUAAAUUUUGACUAGCUCAUGAUAAAAUGAUAAAACAACUGAAUGUUCCUGGCAAGGUGAUAUUAAAUUGCACAUUGGAUCAAGCUGACGUCUCAUGAGGAUGAAAGAAUGAAGAUUAACUGAUUGGAUGAAAAAGAAUAAAAGAAGAAUGGGUCUGAGAACAUAUGCUCAAAGAUUAAACAAACGAAAAUGAAAUGGACAGAUAGAAAGAUAUAUACCACUUAAUGCCCCAUCGUCUACAGCUAGGCCAUUAUUAGGCCAACAUUAACCAAUAAAUGCAUCUACAUGUAGGUUCAAAUUUAUGAGAAACAAUAAUCACCUUAAAGGCAUACCUGUCAACUUUCCUGAUUUAUGAGGGAUUUUCCCCUUUAGAGAUGUUGACCUGAUUCUUGAAAUCAUUUAUU